GGGGAAUAUUGGGCAAUGGGCGCAAGCCUGACCCAGCAACGCCGCGUGAAGGAAGAAGGCUUUCGGGUUGUAAACUUCUUUUAUGUGGGACGAAAAAAAUGACGGUACCAUAUGAAUAAGCUCCGGCUAACUACGUGCCAGCAGCCGCGGUAAUACGUAGGGAGCAAGCGUUGUCCGGAUUUACUGGGUGUAAAGGGCGCGUAGGCGGGAUAGCAAGUCAGGUGUGAAAUCCGGGGGCUCAACCCUCGAACUGCACUUGAAACUGUUAUUCUUGAGUGAUGGAGAGGCAAGUGGAAUUCCUAGUGUAGCGGUGAAAUGCGUAGAUAUUAGGAGGAACACCAGUGGCGAAGGCGACUUGCUGGACAUUAACUGACGCUGAGGCGCGAAAGCGUGGGGAGCAAAC
rnacentral:rRNA from 1 species